AUUGAACGCUGGCGGCAGGCCUAACACAUGCAAGUCGAGCGAGCGGCGGACGGGUGAGUAAUGUAUGGGGAUCUGCCUGAUAGAGGGGGAUAACUACUGGAAACGGUGGCUAAUACCGCAUACUAUCGGAUGUGCCCAUAUGGGAUUAGCUAGUAGGUGGGGUAAAGGCUCACCUAGGCGACGAUCCCUAGCUGGUCUGAGAGGAUGACCAGCCACACUGGAAUUGAGACACGGCCCAGACUCCUACGGGAGGCAGCAGUGGGGAAUAUUGCAAAAUGGGCGCAAGCCUGAUGCAGCCAGGCCGCGUGUAUGAAGAAGGCCUUAGGGUUGUAAAGUACUUUCAGCGGGGAGGCGUUACCCGCAGAAGAAGCACCGGCUAACUCCGUGCCAGCAGCCGCGGUAAUAC
rnacentral:rRNA from 1 species